rnacentral:lncRNA from 10 species
UUUUCACUCGGCGGUGGUCCAGGCGCGCAGCGGCGGCUUGCAGGGCGUCGAGGCGGCGGUGCAGCGCGGCGGUGCGGUGGCCCAGCGCGGCCGCCUGGCCCUCGAGCUCGCCGAAGAUGUCCCCGGCGCAGCGCGACAGGGUCUCCUAUGGACAGAAGUGCGGGCAAGGAGCUUUGUUCCUCCCCGAUGUCACCCUCCCACAGCCCACUUGCUAGCAGGCAAGAGAGGGGUGGAGGCCGGCAGUAAGGCAUGUACUGAACUGGACCUCUGGUGGAAUGGGUCACCCACGCUGGGCUUGGUGGGUAUUUGAAAGUGACUCUUUCGUGAACACUGUUGUGAGCCCUCACUGGGAAUGUCUGGCCAUGCUUCCUGACGCUGGCAAUGAAUUUUCUCUAGCUGCUUAUUCUACCCCAACCUUGGUCUUCCUUCUGUCCCCUCCAUGCAGACUCUUACCAUCAGGGUCCUGCCAACCCUUCAGUGAGACUUUUUCCGAAGAAUCCCUUUUAAAAUGACCUCAAGCUGACCUUCCUGAUGCAGAUUCCACAUAUGGUAUCUGAGACUCACACAGUGUGGUUGGAAGAUAGCACAGUGACCUCCCAGGCACAGCCCUCUGCCAGCCCUCCACUGGCUGCCCUAGGAUGCUGGCCUUCCUCCGAUGGGAGUCGGGCCCAGUCUGCUGUGAGCCAGGAGAAGCCAGCAAGCUCCCUGCGAGGCCUGGAGGAGCCCUUCUCACUCAGCUUGGUGUUCGAUGCCAGUGCCCCCGCCCAUUGUGGGGUGAGGGUGGGACUCUCAGCACAGCCCUGUCCAAAUAAAUCCUCUAAAG